rnacentral:rRNA from 1 species
AUUGAACGCUGGCGGCACGCCUAACACUUGCAAGUCGAGCGGCAGCGGAGUAUGUAGCGAUACAUACAGACGGCGAGCGGCGGACGGGUGAGGAACACGUAGGAACCUACCCUUUAGAGGGGGAUAACCAAGGGAAACUUUGGCUAAUACCGCAUACACUCGAGAGAGGAAAGCUGCCCAGGAGAGAUCGAGGGUGGAGCUAGAGGAGGGGCCUGCGUCCGAUUAGCUAGUUGGUGUGGUAAGAGCGCACCAAGGCGAUGAUCGGUAACGGGUCUGAGAGGACGACCAGUCACACUGGGACUGAGACACGGCCCAGACUCCUACGGGAGGCAGCAGUGGGGAAUAUUGGACAAUGGGGGGAGCCCUGAUCCAGCGAUGCCGCGUGGGUGAAGAAGGCCUUCGGGUUGUAAAGCCCUUUAGGCCGGGAAGAAGUAGGUUAGCUGAAUAGGCUAAUUUAUUGACGGUACCGGCAGAAUAAGCACCGGCAAACUCUGUGCCAGCCGCCGCGGUAA